rnacentral:rRNA from 1 species
AUUGCACGCUGGCGGCAGGCCUAACACAUGCAAGUCGAGCGAGCGGCGGACGGGUGAGUAAUGUCUGGGAAACUGCCUGAUGGAGGGGGAUAACUACUGGAAACGGUAGCUAAUACCGCAUACCAUCAGAUGUGCCCAGAUGGGAUUAGCUAGUAGGUGGGGUAACGGCUCACCUAGGCGACGAUCCCUAGCUGGUCUGAGAGGAUGACCAGCCACACUGGAACGGAGACACGGUCCAGAAUCCGACGGGAGGCAGCAGGGGGGAAUAUAGCCCAAUGGGAGCAAGCCUGAGGCGGCCAUGCCGCGUGUGUGAAGAGGGCCUUCGGGUUGAAAAGCACUUUCAGCGGGGAGGCGUUACCCGCAGAAGAAGCACCGGCUAACUCCGUGCCAGCAGCCGCGGUAAUAC